rfam:Mycobacterium abscessus strain PAP053 genome assembly, contig: ERS075544SCcontig000005
AAUAAGAUUUGUUAGGUGAGGCUCCUAUACAAACAUAGGCUACUGCCCAAAAAUGUCGAGAGACGCCAAUGGGUAGAACAGGAACUGUCGAAUGAAGGCUUUUCUUAAGGUAGCUAAAAGCAAUCGCUUUUUACGUUGUAUAGUGCUAAAGCUCAACGAUAAGAACGAUUA